CAAAUAUCCAAGAGGAUUCUUUCACUAAAGCUCACAGGAAUAUGCUGGUGACAAGGGCCUGCUUCACUAAAAAAGUACAGCCAGGUGGAAAAUGCAGAAGGGAAUCACAGCUCAAUAGAAUGAGUAUCUCUCUGCUGCUCUGAAACUGUGCCCCAGACCCAUUGCUCACUUCUUAGAGCAAACAUUGGGAUCCAAAUUUUUAUGACUAACACGUCAUAAUGUAAUGAAUAAAAAUCUACAGCAAGAAAAAGUAUAGAAAAAUAUAACCACACCAAGAUUGAGCAAUGCAUUUUGGAACAACUAACAACGGAUGGUGAAUGUCAGCAGAGAAGAUUUUAAAAUAAUCAAAUCAACUGAGAAAAGAAAUAAAACAUGUCACAAUCUCUGUGACACUAAGAAGGCAGCUAUUGGAGUAAACUUUAUAGCUAUGAGUAUCUACUUAAAAAGAUCACAAAGAAGAAACUUCUACAUUGAAAAUUAG